rnacentral:rRNA from 1 species
CAGACCUCUAGUCGAAAA